rnacentral:rRNA from 1 species
UACGUAGGGGGCUAGCGUUGUCCGGAAUCAUUGGGCGUAAAGCGCGUGUAGGCGGCCCGGUAAGUCCGCUGUGAAAGUCGGGGGCUCAACCCUCGAAAGCCGGUGGAUACUGUCGGGCUCGAGUACGGAAGAGGCGAGUGGAAUUCCUGGUGAGCGGUGAAAUGCGCAGAUAUCAGGAGGAACACCAAUUGCGAAGGCAGCUCGCUGGAACGGUACUGACGCUGAGGCGCGAAAGCGUGGGGAGCGAACAGG